UACGUAGGGUCCAAGCGUUAUCCGGAAUUACUGGGCGUAAAGCGUGUGUAGGCGGAAAGUUAAGUGAUGUGCGAAAUCCUGGGGCUCAACCCUAUGGACUGUAUAUCAUACUGGCUUUCUAGAGGAUGGCAGAGGCAAGUGGAAUUUGUAGUGUAGCAGUGAAAUGCGUAGAUAUUACAAGGAACACCAAUGGCGAAGGCAGCUUGCUGGGCCAUAUCUGACGCUGAGACACGAAAGCGUGGGGAGCGAACAGG
rnacentral:rRNA from 1 species